rnacentral:rRNA from 1 species
AUCAUGGAGAGUUUGAUCCUGGCUCAGGACGAACGCUGGCGGCGUGCUUAACACAUGCAAGUCGAACGGGAGGACAU